GGGAGAACAAAGCCUUCCCAUGCCUCUCAGCGAUACCAAAAUAGCACGGAGAGAAAUUCCGGCUGCCUCAUCGGAACUCCAGCUCCACAUCAGCAAAGCUGGGGAAGGGGAGCAUCUGGGUCCCUGCGUGGGAAGUCUGGGUGCUGGUGGCUGCAGGCACAGUGCCAGCUGCACAGAGUCCCCUGCCCAGGAUGGAGGCUGAGAGUCCAGCUUAUGGUCCACAAGUGUGCAAGGGAGCGUGUGCACGCAGCACACGCAGAGACAUCCAGCCUGGGAUAUGGGGUACUGAGGAAUGAAUCUACAGUGAACUGCCACCUGGCUAACCAAGUCCAUUACAGAGACACCAUUCACUUGAUUCUGACUUCCAGACUGCCGCAUGUGUCCGCUGCUCUCCCUUCGGCCCUUUUCUGUGAGUGCCUCCUUCAUGGAAAGGUUAUAAAACCUUGAGAGUCAGACUCACAUGCCACAGAGAUCACAUGGCAGGCUGGAGAGGAAACGCAUGGCUGUACAAUUGUUUUUGCACUUUGCUCCCUGCUCGAGCCGGAGAGACACCAGGGAGCGCUUUGGCCUCCCAGGAACAAAGAAUCCCCUGCAGGCCUGUGACGCAUCCCACAUACCCACAAGCCUCAUAGCCGUGAUGGUCAGGGCCGUGGGAGGCCAUCGGACCCCAGUGCACGCGGUGAGGGAGGGAGAGAAGUGGUCAGCCUCCAGUUGAAGAGCUCCCUGGAGGGAGAAGAUGACAAGGCAUGAAGCUCCACAGCCUGGGAGGGGAGUAGUCAAGAAAGCAACGGAGCUCAUGGAACCAGGGAGAUGGGCAGUGGGGAACCCACACUGAGCUCAGACAGGCGAGGCAAAGAACAGGAGCCUUGAUGGGGACGUGGCUUCCCAAGUAGCACCUGUGUUCCUUGCUGGUUUGAUUUCAUGCUGAAAAAGGUCAUUCAUUAGACCUUCCCCAGGCAGCCCCCUCCCCAAAGCCAUUGACUUCCUCUUGUUCCCAGCACAAAGGACCCCAGGAAGACAGAGCCUGGUUUCUGCUGGUUCUUGAGAAACCUUCAGGCCAUUAGUCAGUUCACAUAAAUUAAGAGCAGGAAUUCAGGCAAGUGAAGUGCAGAAAGGGGAAAGGACUCUUCCAAAGUCACUCCUGUUUUUGGAGCAGGCCCAUUCCAUUUUGGCAUUUCCUGGUCUUCAGGCUGAUCUUUAUGGGGUGUCCUCCAUCAGGUGAGGAAGGGGAACCUGACCCAGCCAGCAAAGGCUCAUGCAUGGCCAGGACUGGCCAACGGCAAAGGACCAGCUCCUCUUCCUCAAAUAAUUAAGUCAAAACUCUCUAUGAGGAAACAAAGAGUCACUUAUGGUCCAUAUGGCAGCGGCUACCAGCAUUCCAAACCAGAAUCCUCUCCCUUCACUAGACCAGAGCUGGAGUCAGGCUGCCCUCAGGGAGCGAUGGCAGGAGGGGACUGGGAAUUAGCCCUGUUGUGCUGAGGAUGUGCAGGACUGGUGCCUAGUACAGCACCUGACCUCCACUGGGGCCCAGCCAGUGUUUGCUGGGUGGGGAGAACAUCAGUUCAUUCUAGUGUGAGAUUGGAGAGCCAAGGCCCCUUAAGGCCAGGUACAAAAGAUACCUCUGCUUAGGUAUAAUCAAAACAGUGAAUUAAUCAAGGGAAUGUGGAUGGUCUCCUGCCCAUCAGUGGGAAAUAAAACACUCAGGAUCCCGUGAUACGAGCCAGGGUGUGGGUCUAGGCUGGGGGAGCAGAGCUGGUGGAGGACCUAGGGAGAGGAAAAGAGAGAGAAAGGGAGAAGGUAGUGGAAGGGGGGCAAUGGGUAGAAAGAGGUCAAGAGUGAGGAACACGGCAGGACCUUACUUCCAGCCCCAGAGGCAGCUGUCCGCCUUCCUUCUGAGUUGCUUGGCCAUCAUUAACACUCAGACACACAGACAGAUUAUUCUCACUGCCCGGGAGCCUUGGAUAUACACAUUUGAUAUAGUCCUCAGUGCAGAAAAUGCUGCAAACUUGACAACGGCAGCAGCACAUUAGCUUGACAAAUGCAAUCCUGCCGGCAGCCAAGAACCUCCCAGUUCUCCCAGGUACUGGGAGUCCGGGGCAGGAACUGGAUUUAACCUGCACAGUGUAGUUACUUCACUGGGAACCCAGAUCAGGGCUGGCGCCCCAGCCAAUGCACUCGGACGUUUGGCCUGCAAGGCUGGAUGCUGACGCACUAAAGCAUUCCUUUGCUUCUACACACUCCAGAUAAAUGAACCUCAGGGUUUUAUGAGUUCUCAAGAACCAGCAGAAACCAGGCUCUGUCUUCCUGGGGUCCUUUGUGCUGGGAACAAGAGGAAGUCAAUGGGUUUGGGGAGGGGGCUGCCUGGGGAAGGUCUCAGCCGCCUCCCCAGCUUAAGUAUAGUCCUACUUCCAAGCUACCCAUUGGGAGGAAGAGUACUUGAUAACAUUGCCUUUAACCCAAUGCCAUGGGCCAGGGCAACUUGGGGCUCAGAAAAGUACUUAAGGUGGUCAGCUGAUAUGCAUUAUGCACUGAGCUUCCUUAAGGAACACACCUGAAGAGGUAGAGGCUGGACAGGGGAAGGAGGGGCUGGAUCAGGUCAGCAUAGGCAGGAGGAGAUGUCUCUCCCGUGCUGGUCACUUCCCACCUGGAGGAAGCCAGGUGAGGCUGCUGUCACCGAGCAUGGCAGGAGGGGACAGAACCCUCACUUUUCCAGUGCAAGCCUUCUGGGUGGGAAGCAGACUGCUUUUGGAACUAGGCUUUAUUAUACUGCCAAUGACAAAAUCAUUUUCUUUUUUCAAGGAGUGAUGUCAAUUGUUUUUUGUUCUGAAUCCAUUUCAACCACCUGAAUUGCAAAUUAGGAUCCCGAGUGUGGGCAGGCAGAGGGUCUGAGGACACCUCAAGAGGCCUAGCCUCAGAAAGCCUGAAGAGCAACCCAACGUGGGUCUCACAUGGGGCUGAGCUGGGGACUCCUAGGGGGUCAGAUCACCGGGGCUGAGGUGGAGGAUUGGCACUCAGGGCCUACCCCUGUCCCUAGGUUUAGUUUUAUAUAAGGCGAGUGUUUCACUGACAUAAAACAAAAAACAAAACAAA